ACUCCUGCGGGAGGCAGCAGUGGGGAAUAUUGGACAAUGGGCGCAAGCCUGAUCCAGCCAUGCCGCGUGAGUGAUGAAGGCCCUAGGGUUGUAAAGCUCUUUCACCGGAGAAGAUAAUGACGGUAUCCGGAGAAGAAGCCCCGGCUAACUUCGUGCCAGCAGCCGCGGUAAUACGAAGGGGGCUAGCGUUGUUCGGAAUUACUGGGCGUAAAGCGCACGUAGGCGGAUCGAUCAGUCAGGGGUGAAAUCCCAGGGCUCAACCCUGGAACUGCCUUUGAUACUGUCGAUCUGGAGUAUGGAAGAGGUGAGUGGAAUUCCGAGUGUAGAGGUGAAAUUCGUAGAUAUUCGGAGGAACACCAGUGGCGAAGGCGGCUCACUGGUCCAUUACUGACGCUGAGGUGCGAAAGCGUGGGGAGCAAACAGGAUUAGAUACCCCGGUAGUCCCAUGA
rnacentral:rRNA from 1 species